rnacentral:rRNA from 1 species
CAGUCGCCGCGGUAAUACGUAGGGUGCGAGCGUUAAUCGGAAUUACUGGGCGUAAAGCGUGCGCAGGCGGUUUUGUAAGACAGAGGUGAAAUCCCCGGGCUCAACCUGGGAACUGCCUUUGUGACUGCAAGGCUAGAGUACGGCAGAGGGGGAUGGAAUUCCGCGUGUAGCAGUGAAAUGCGUAGAUAUGCGGAGGAACACCGAUGGCGAAGGCAAUCCCCUGGGCCUGUACUGACGCUCAUGCACGAAAGCGUGGGGAGCAAACAGGAUUAGAUACCCGGGUAGUCCCUGUCUCUUAUAC